UGCCUCAGUCUCCUGAGUAGCUGGGAAUACAAGUGCCUGCCACCACACCUGGCUAAUUUUUUGUAUUUUUAGUAGAGGCAGGGUUUCACCAUGUUGGUCAGGCUGGUCUCGAACUCUUAACCUGAGGUGAUCUGCCUGCCUCGGCCUCCCAAAGUGCUGGGAUUACAGAUGUGAGCCACUGCACCCAGCCUAAUUUUUUAUUUUUAGUAGAGAUGCAGUUUCACCAUGUUGCCCAGGCUGGUCUUGAACUUACAGUGACCUAGCUGGUCUGUUACUUGGGAAUUCCCAUCAGUAUUUUUAG
ensembl:lncRNA